UCACACCCGUUCCCAUACCGAACACGGAAGUUAAGCUCUUCAGCGCCGAUGGUAGUUGGGGGUUUCCCCCUGUGAGAGUAGGACGCCGCCAAGC
rnacentral:rRNA from 2 species